rnacentral:rRNA from 1 species
UACGUAGGUGGCGAGCGUUGUCCGGAUUUACUGGGCGUAAAGAGCGCGCAGGCGGUCGUACAAGUCGCGUGUGAAAGCCCCCGGCUCAACUGGGGAGGGUCACGCGAUACUGUUCGACUCGAAGGCAGGAGAGGGUAGUGGAAUUCCCGGUGUAGUGGUGAAAUGCGUAGAUAUCGGGAGGAACACCAGUGGCGGAGGCGACUACCUGGCCUGUUCUUGACGCUGAGGCGCGAAAGCUAGGGUAGCAAACGGG